rnacentral:rRNA from 1 species
UACAGGGGGGGGCAAGCGUUGUUCGGAAUUACUGGGCGUAAAGGGCUCGUAGGCGGCCAACUAAGUCACACGUGAAAUCCCCAGCUUAACCUGGGAACUGCGUGUGAUACUGGAUGGCUUGAAUCCGGGAGAGGGAUGCAGAAUUCCAGGUGUAGCGGUGAAAUGCGUAGAUAUCUGGAGGAAUACCGGUGGCGAAGGCGGCAUCCUGGACCGGCAUUGACGCUGAUGAGCGAAAGCUAGGGGAGCAAACGGG